rnacentral:sRNA from 1 species
UUUUCCUAAGGAUGUCUGUGAGUCUGGGGUACCAUGUGGUUUGGAAGACUACAGGCCAAUGGCCAGAACCAGGGGCUCUGAGCUGAGUGUCACUGCGUGUGGGGACCACAGGACAUUGCAGGCAGCCACCUUCAGGCGAGGGGAUGGACAUAUCGCUGGACUCCUGACAAGGUCUUGGCGGGCUCACCACUGGCAGCUGGGGCUGAGUUUUGGGCCAACAUUUCUGCUAGCCCAGAUCCCCGGUCACACUUUACACAGUCACUUCUUAUAAACACUUUCAUUGGUGAUACCAUGCUUGGGGUAAAGUUCAUGUUUCCCCCAUCUCAGCACCAAAGGAAGACAGUGUGCAUAAAAAGUGGAUGUUUCCUGAGGAUCUCAUUGGACCACCUUUGUAGGCAGAGCUUCCUGUGUGUAUGGCUAUAAUCCAGCAUUUCCCAAAUCAUGAAAUGGACCAACUUUGUGUUCCAGAUUAUUGCUCUUAAUAAAACCAAAGAACGAAUGCGACCUUACCAAAGCAACCAAGAAGAUGAAGAUCCAGACAUCAAGAAGAUUAAAAAGGUUCAGAGUUUCAUGCGAGGAUGGUUGUGCAGAAGGAAAUGGAAGACCAUCGUGCAGGAUUACAUUUGUUCUCCUCAUGCUGAAAGUAUGAGGAAGAGAAACCAGAUUGUGUUCACCAUGGUGGAGGCAGAGUCAGAGUACGUUCACCAGCUCUACAUCCUGGUCAACGGCUUUCUCCGGCCCCUGCGUAUGGCCGCCAGCUCCAAGAAGCCCCCCAUCAGCCACGACGACGUCAGCAGUAUUUUUCUCAACAGUGAAACAAUCAUGUUUCUUCAUGAAAUAUUUCAUCAAGGACUAAAGGCAAGGAUAGCGAACUGGCCCACUUUGAUUUUAGCUGAUCUGUUUGAUAUUUUGCUCCCCAUGCUGAACAUUUAUCAAGAAUUUGUGCGUAAUCACCAGUACAGCCUGCAAGUUCUCGCCAAUUGUAAGCAAAACAGAGAUUUUGACAAACUCUUAAAACAGUAUGAAGCCAAUCCAGCCUGUGAGGGGAGGAUGCUGGAGACAUUCUUGACCUAUCCCAUGUUUCAGAUCCCCAGAUAUAUCAUCACACUCCAUGAGCUCCUUGCUCACACACCCCAUGAGCAUGUGGAAAGGAAAAGCCUGGAGUUUGCCAAAUCAAAGCUAGAGGAACUGUCCAGAGUAAUGCACGAUGAAGUCAGCGACACUGAAAACAUAAGGAAAAACCUUGCCAUCGAAAGAAUGAUCGUGGAGGGCUGUGACAUCUUGCUGGACACCAGCCAAACGUUCAUCCGCCAAGGGACCAUGAAAAACAGCAACACAAUCAUAGUAAAGCACGAGUGGGGCAGGCAGUUACAUUCUGACUGGACGCUCCUCCUCAGCGGCCCGGACAUUCUCUGCAGCUCCAAGGAGGACCGGUCGGCCUGGCCCACGGCCGUGGCAGUGCCAAGUGCUGACGAUACCCAGGCCAAGGCCCAGGAGAAACUUGCGUUGCUCAAAGCCCUUUCACAUAAGACUGGGGACCAUGUCCGAAGUGAAAACAGCUGUCUGUUGUUCCCAUUUUUCAUCAGCACUUCCGGAUCCGCCCCACACGAUAUAAUUUGAUUCAACUGGUAACUCCCGUUGCCAGAUGAAAUGUCUCUGAUGGACACUUGCCACGCUUUGGUAAUGCAGAAGCUGUCGUGUUUGCGAAGUGUGCUUUGGGGGCAUCACUCGAUAAAUUAAGCUUUUGAAGAGUUAAAGAUAUUUGUGCCGGAAACUGUGGAGAAGCAACAGCCUGACAGUGCCUAUUUCUCCUCGGCUGUUAUUUCAAAAUGCAAGACGUAAACCACAUCCCAAGUUAUUUUUUUAGUGCUUAAGUCCUCUGGGGGAGGGGAGAAUGCCCCAGGCAAUUGAUUUGAGACAAUAUAUUGCACACAUUUAUAAUUUUGAAUUUGGUGAGGAGUGGAAUAUAAAUUUGGAACUCAAAUUAAUCGUUAAUGUAGUUUCUGUUUAUAAUGUGCCAAUGCAUUUGAAGAUAUUUGUGUUGCCAUUGCCUACCAUAAUGUACUGCUUAAAAUCUCUUUUUACCUCAUCAAGAACAAGACAAUGUUUUGUGCCAUUAAUUUUUGCACAGACUACUUUAAUAGUUUAAUGCAUGCCAUUCUAUUUUCCAUUAUUUAUUUACAAGGAGAAACCACACAUAUGUUAAAGUUUGGGAGUGUAUUUUAGGAAAUGAUUCCUUUUCUCAUUUUUGGCUUUAGAUAUUCUUUUUUCUUUAAAUAAGGGUGGAAUAUAAUGCUGACAACAUCAGGCCCUUGUAAUGCCUCCUCUAUUCCUCUGCACAGACUGUGUCCCCACAUUGGCUUCCUGCCUGCCAGCCUCUGUGCCUUUCCUUGUGCUGUCCCCAGCCUGGGGGCUGGGAAUGUCCUUACCAUUUCUUUUGUGCCUGUUGAAGUUCUGCUUGUCCCACCAGGCUCAGAUCAGAUACCUCGAAGGAGCCUUUUAUAAUUUCCUCUUCUUCCUCCUCCCCUGUCCUCCAGUUAGAAUGGAUUUACCUUCCACUUGUUUCCAAGGCACUUUACUCCUGGUGCAUGUAUUUCCUCCUCUUGCUUGUGUACCUCUCUGUCCUGGUUACUGUAAACUCUGAAGGGCAGCACUUAAGGAAUUCUCUCUGCCUUGCCUUGUCUAGUAUGAUGCUUUCUGUUACAGAUACCUGGAAAAUGGGCGUUGAAUUAAAUUAUUUACUGAAUUGC